UGGGGAAUAUUGGACAAUGGGCGCAAGCCUGAUCCAGCCAUGCCGCGUGAGUGAUGAAGGCCCUAGGGUUGUAAAGCUCUUUCACCGGUGAAGAUAAUGACGGUAACCGGAGAAGAAGCCCCGGCUAACUUCGUGCCAGCAGCCGCGGUAAUACGAAGGGGGCUAGCGUUGUUCGGAUUUACUGGGCGUAAAGCGCACGUAGGCGGACUUUUAAGUCAGGGGUGAAAUCCCGGGGCUCAACCCCGGAACUGCCUUUGAUACUGGAAGUCUUGAGUAUGGUAGAGGGGGGUGGAAUUCCGAGUGUAGAGGUGAAAUUCGUAGAUAUUCGGAGGAACACCAGUGGCGAAGGCGGCUCACUGGACCAUUACUGACGCUGAGGUGCGAAAGCGGGGGGGGCAAACAGG
rnacentral:rRNA from 1 species